rnacentral:rRNA from 1 species
AUUGAACGCUGGCGGCAUGCCUUACACAUGCCAGUCGAACGGCAGCACGGGUGCUUGCCCCUGGUGGCGAGUGGCGAACGGGCGAGUAAUACAUCGGAACAUGUCCUGUAGUGGGGGAUAGCCCGGCGAAAGCCGGAUUAAUACCGCAUACGAUCCACGGAUGAAAGCGGGGGACCUUCGGGCCUCGCGCUAUAGGGUUGGCCGAUGGCUGAUUAGCUAGUUGGUGGGGUAAAGGCCUACCAAGGCGACGAUCAGUAGCUGGUCUGAGAGGACGACCAGCCACACUGGGACUGAGACACGGCCCAGACUCCUACGGGAGGCAGCAGUGGGGAAUUUUGGACAAUGGGCGAAAGCCUGAUCCAGCAAUGCCGCGUGUGUGAAGAAGGCCUUCGGGUUGUAAAGCACUUUUGUCCGGAAAGAAAUCCUUGACUCUAAUACAGUCGGGGGAUGACGGUACCGGAAGAAUAAGCACCGGCUAACUACGUG